rnacentral:lncRNA from 1 species
GCUGAUCCCUUUCGCUGUAUGGCGUGCUCGUUUGGGUUGGGCGUCGGCUAAGAGUGUUCGGAGCGUGGAUUAACUCCAGUCUCCUACCAGGUGUGUAUUUCUCACUACUCUAGCUGUAAGAUGGCUACUUCGGGCCGCGAUGGGCCGAAAAGGGCUAUGUGGGCCCAAUGGGCCUACAGGCCCAAUUGGAUAAGUUGUUUGAUUGUGUAGUUAAUAUUGGGCUAGGUUAGGUGAAACUCAUAUUUGUGGCUAGAUUUGGGCUAAAAGGGCCACAUGAGCGUGUGGGCCCAUUUGGGCCGAGAAUAGGCUUUAGGCCCAUUCGUAUUGUUAUCCCUGUUUAGAAUACUUUAGUUUACCAAAUUACUAAAAUACCCUCGACUUGUAAAAUUACCAAAGUACCCUCAAUUUAUAGAAUUACUAUUUUACCCUCGAUUUAUAGGAUUACCAUUUUACCCUCGAUUUAUAGAAUUACCAUUUUACCCUCAAUUUAUAGAAUUACCGUUUUACCCUCGAUUUAUAGAAUUACCGUUUUACCCUCGAUUUAUAGAAUUACCAUUUUACCCUCGAUUUAUAGAAUUAUCGUUUUACUCUCGAUUUAUAGAAUUACCAUUUUACCCUCGAUUUAUAGAAUUACCAUUUUACCCUCAAUUUACAAAAUUAUUAUUUUACCCUCAGUUUACAAAAUUACCUUUUUACCCUCGAUUGUGAAAUUACUAAAAUACCCCUAAAGGAUAAAAUUACCAAAAUACCCCUAGUUUGUAAAAUUACCAAAAUACCACUGGUUUGUGAAAUUAUCGAAAUACCCUCAACACCACUGGUUUGUGAAAUUACCGAAAUACCCUCAAUGUGUAAAAUUACCAAAAUACCCCUGAUUUACAAAAUUACAAAAAUACCCUUGACUUUCUAAAAAUUAUAGAAAUACCAUUGGUUUACAAAAUUACUGAAAUACCCUUGGUUUGUAGAUUUACCAAAACACCCUUGUAGGAUGAAAUGACUAAAAUACCCCUAAUAGGUAAAAAGACCGUAAAGCCCCUGUAAGGUAAAGUGACUGUAAACCCCUGUAGGGUAAAGUGACCGUAAAGCCCUUGUAUGGUAAAAUGACGAAUACGCCCUUAUGUUCCGUAUGACUGAUGUUUUUAGGAUUUACGUAUAUUGAUAUUGGAAUAGUUAAGUUUGAGUGACAGGUGGUGGUUAUCGUAGGUGAUUGAUUAUGGAAACGUUUCAACUUCAACCCGUAACAGGUGUGGACUAACCCUCGUAAUAGCUUAGAUUAAUAUUUGCUGAGAAGUCAAAAUGCUAAAAUACCGGUAUUUCGGGAACUUGUAAUGUUGCGUUUGGGUAUAGAUGCGAUAAAUACGAUAAGAUCGGUGUUUGGAUCGAUGGAACAGGUAAGAACUUAAUUUUGUGCACGAUGGUAAGUUGGGCCUCAAUGGGCUGGAAUUGGGCCCAAUGGGCUUUUGGGCCCAUUUGGGUAAAAUUGAUAAAAAAUGGAAUUUGGAAAAAGUUACAUGUUUACACGGUUAGUAUUGUUGUAAAUUUUGGGGUAAGUAGGCUAAAUCGGCAUUCGUAAGGCCCAUUAGGGGUUUUGGGCCCAAAAGCCCGAAUUUGAUAAAGUGGGUUAAAGAUCAUUGUUUAAACACUCGAAAAUAUUGAUAAUUGUAAUGAACAUGGAAAGCCCUGAUAUUUGGUAAAAUUAUGAAAAUACCCUUAUAAUAUGAAAAAUGACUGUUUUGCCCUUGUGGGCAAGUGACUGACUUGGACUGUGUGGUUGACGGAUUUGAUUGUGAAUAUAUGUUGGUGAUAUGAAUAACUUGACUGUGAUUGUUUGAUUCAAAUAUGGGCAUGACAUCCUACAUACAUGACAUAUUGCAUGGGAUAUGGGUUAUAUUGAUGGAGGAAGUGCUAAAAGGGCUCUGCCCCAAUUUACCGAAAAGGGCUUCGCCCCAGUUUAUCAGAAAGGGCUUUGCCCCAGUUAUUAAAAGAGGCUAGGCCUCCAGUUAUAUGACAAAGCAGCUAUGAUGCCAGUGGAGAGUUUGGUUGGGUGGGUUGAGUUAUUCCCCACAUGGAGAGUUUGGUUGGUACGGGUGGAAAGUAGCGGAUGGUGGGUCGAGUAGUCUCCCCAAAUGGGCUUGCAUACAUUGAUUGGUAUUUCAUGUGAUAUUGAAAUGGGCUUGCAUACAUCCAUUGACAUUGCAUGUGAUAUUGAAAUGGGCCUAUGGGCCAUACCGUUUACAGUAAAGGCUUCGGCCCAGUAACCAUUAAACGAAAGGCUUCAGCCCAGUAUAUGUCGAGACUAAAUAGGGCUUUGGCCCAAAUUGUACUGAUACUGUGUUUUCACUGUUUGUUUGUUAUUAGGAUUACACAAUGAGUUUUCGUAAACUCACCCCAUUUCUAACUGUGCAGGUAAUCCCUAAGCUUAGAUGGUUUGGAGCUGCGAGGGACUCGGAGAUGGCCACACUACUGUUUAUGUUUCUUUUAAUUGCAAUAAGUAGCCGAUUUAUUUCUUUAUAAGUUUUAUCUUAUCAUUAUUAUUAUUUGGUUUUGGGUUGUAAUAAGGCCAUUUUAAUUAUUUUUCUAGGAUUAUUUUAUUUUAUACCCUAUAUUUUUCUGAUAACAAUAUGAGUUAGACUUAGG